rnacentral:rRNA from 1 species
GACGAACGCUGGCGGCGUGCUUAACACAUGCAAGUCGAACGGACAGGUCCUGCUUUUGUUGGGUACACGAGUGGCGAACGGGUGAGUAACACGGGAGUACCCUGCCCUAGACUUUGGGAUAACUUCAGGAAACUGGGGCUAAUACCGGAUAGGAGCUCCUGCUGUAUGGUGGGGGUUGGAAAGUUUCGGCGGUUGGGGAUGGAACCGCGGCUUAUUAGCUUGUUGGUGGGGUAGUGGCUUACCAAGGCAUUGACGGGUAGCCGGCCUGAGAGGGUGACAGGCCACAUUGGGAUUGAGAUACGGCCCGGACUCCUACGGGAGGCAGCAGUGGGGAAUAUUGCACGAUGGGCGGAAGCCUGAUGCAGCAACGCCGCGUGCGGGAUGACGGCCUUCGGGUUGUAAACCGCUUGCGCCUGGGACGAAGCGUGAGUGACGGUAAUUGGUAAAGAAGCACCGGCUAACUACGUG